AAAAAGGGCUUCUGUCGUGAGGGGCAUAGGUAGAGAAGCUUGAUUGCUCUACAUGUGGAAUCGACAUCAAGAGAUUUCAGAAGCAUAAUUUUUUGGAACUUGGGCAGCUGGUGAUCGUUCGUCCCGGCGCCCAC
ensembl:snRNA U11 spliceosomal RNA